CGNAUGUAGCCAAGUGGAUUAAGGCAGU
rnacentral:tRNA from 1 species